GCUGACUUGGUUUGCAAGCGGAGACACCAGGAAUGGGUUGUAGUGGGAUGCUAUCGGCGUUGAUCCAGGGAGGACUUUCUGGUCCGCUGAGCCUGGACAUUGAAGUCCUCUGAUAGAGAGCCAAAGAUACUUCUGGAGAAGAGAAGGCUUAUCUGGAGAAGAGGCUCAGGGGUGACCUUAACGCUCUUUACAACUACCUGAAAGGAGGUAGUGGUGAGGUCAUAGCUUCACCUGGCAAGGAACUAUCAAGGGUCUGAAACCCACCAAGAGAUGUAGAGGAUCAGUGUUGGUGAGUUUGUCCUUGUCUGCAGAGAAGAAAUGACUAAACUGAGACAAGUAAGAACUAGAAACUGAUGGAGGACGGGGAAGACAGGAGAAUAAGAAAAGUGGAAAAAGGAGAGAACUUCUAACCUAUAAUUGCAUUGUCCGUGCUGGUUGAAAUCCAGGUAUAAACAAUGCUCAUAUCCCUACAUUUCACUUUUCAGAACAUGUCUUUAAGACAAAAACAGGGGUUAGAAGAGCAGAUUUUACUCUUGUGAUUAAGAUUUGCACCUUCUGACUUUGGGUUAAAAAGAGAAAGAACUAAAAAUAAAACAAGGGGGAAAAAAAGAGUAAUGCUUUACUAAUUAAGGCAAAAUUGGAAAUGAUUGGUGUGCACUGGCAAGCUGCUACUCCCAGAAAGAACUGGACUGACAUCUCUACAAUCACUCAGUGAGUAAGCACUGCGAAAACACUGUUUGGCCUGGAAGGAGCUAAUAAGUGCAUAGAUAAAAUCUUAUUUUGAAAGCAACAACAAAGGACAUGUGAUUUAUAUUUUAGCUGGUGACUUCAUAUGUUUUGCAGUUUCUCUAGAAUAUAUCGGAAUUCAUAAUUCAUUUUUAUAAUGCAUUACAUUAAAAUAAUAAAUGUCAGGAAGUUUUUCAAGAGACUGAAAAUUCUGUAAGCAGUGCUGAGUGAUCAAAGGAGAAUUUUGACAGGGAGAGACUCCCGUUGACUUGGGGCUUUGGAUCAGGCCUGACAUUGGCAACAAAAUGGACAACAGUUAAUAAAAGUGUGCCUGUUAGAGCAUGGGUAAGCUGGAGCAGCUAAUUGCAUCAACUUAACACAAGUUGGGGGAAGAUGCAUGCUGGCUGGAUCCUCACUGCUGCACAUGAUAGGAUGCUGUUGCUCAUCCACAUGGCAGCAGCCAUAGAUGAGCCAAGACAAAGGAAGCGAUAGUGGAGGUGGAGGAGAGAGCAGGGAUUAGAGGACUGGAGGAAAAACAACUUUCAGGGGGAGAAACCAUUCCAAAACCUACAUUUACGCAAGGAAGAAUACUGUUGGGUUAAAAGCAGUAUAUCAUUUCUGGAGUUUUUCAUUUCCUACGUGUUGGAGGAGUUAUCUCUGUGUGUUUCCAUUCUUUUUCUUAAUGGAGGAAUAUAUGAC